rnacentral:ncRNA from 1 species
UCAAUUACUUCAUCACUUACACAUGCAAGUCUCCGCACACCCGUGAAAACGCCCUUUUACCCACCUAGGAUUAAGGAGCUGAUAUCAGGCAUUAUAACACACCCAAGACAUCUAGCCCCGCCACACCCCCAAGGGUACUCAGCAGUGAUUAAUAUUAAAAAUAAACGUCAGUUUGAUUUAGUUAAUGAAAAUAGAGCCGGCCAACCUGGUGCCAGCCGCCGCGGCUAAACCAUGCGGCUCAAAUUGAUUCACAUCGGCGUAAAGCGUGAUUAAAGACACUUAACUUACUGGGGUGAAACCCUAACUAAACUGUGAAACUCUUGUUACCGGGAGACCCAAACCCGAAAGAUACCCCACCCAAACUCUUGAACUCACGAUAAUUGGGAUAUAAACUGGGAUUAGAUACCCCACUAUACCCAAUCUUAAACUUUAACUUACACCCACAUCGCCAGGGAACUACGAGCUAAGCUUAAAACCCAAGGGACUUGACGGUACCCCACAUCCUUCUAGAGGAGCCUGUCCUAUAAUCGAUAACCCUCGUUCAACCUCACCACUUUUAGUCUAUCAGCCUGUAUACUUCCGUCGCCAGCUUGCCGCAUGAGCGCCACCCAGCAAGCUUAAUGUACCCCCCCCCAGUACGUCAGGUCAAAGUGCAGCAAAUAAAGUGGGAAGAGAUGGGCUACACUUUCUACAUUAGAAGAUACGAAAGACUUUAUGAAAUAAAUCAGAAGGCGGAUUUAGUAGUAAAAGUGGGAGUAGAGUGCCCCUUUUAACUCGGCACCGGGGUGUGUACACACCGCCCGUCACCCUCUUCAACAAACUAAAACUAGUAUUUAACAACUUAAUUUAAUUAGAAGAGGCAAGUCGUAACACGGUAAGUGUACCGGAAGGUGUACUUGGAAA